rnacentral:misc_RNA from 1 species
ACUAACCAAACAAACACUACUACUAACCACGCGCUCCCACCGCACCUGCUUGUAACCGCAACUUUCCUAUCCUAAAUGUACCAUCCACGGUUAACCAGUUUACUUCUUCACACCGUCACCUGGGCCCUACACACUCAACAAAUCCGACGGCGGAGAUCUCUCCUUUUCAGCAUCUUAGGGUUUUUUCUUUACCCAAACGCUUUUUAUUCUUUAUAUCCUGCCGUCUUG